rnacentral:hammerhead_ribozyme from 1 species
GUACUGCUGAGGAGUCCCAAACUAGGACGGAGCAGCUGUCCGGUAC